ACGCAUGCGCACGAGAUUCCUGUUAGUUCCUCUGGUAAAGUGAGCUUCAUCAAAUUGCAGGGUUUCCUUCCUUCCCAAUGUCCGGUUACUUCGUCUCUGAGGAGCCCGACACUCGUGCACAGUUCCUCUCAGUCCCUGUUAUACUUUCAUGUGAAGGGUAGAGAUGGAUCUCAUGCCUCCGCAGUGACCCAAGCCACAGCAGAACUCUGAAUCCUUAACCCACUGAGCCACAGGGGACCUCCAGUACAAAGUUUAAAAUGACUAACAUCAUGGAAAUUGGUUUUAAGUCGAUGUGCUGUGAAACUUACAGAAAAAGGAACACUAUUACACUGUUGGUGGGAGUGUAAAUUGGUGCAACCGCU